rnacentral:rRNA from 1 species
AAUUUGGCGGUAUUUUAGUCUAUUCAGAGGAACCUGUUCUGUAAUCGAUAAUCCACGAUGGACCUUACUUAAGUUUGUAAUCAGUUUAUAUACCGUCGUUAUUAGAAUAUUUUAUAAGAAUAUUAAUUUUCUAAAUUUUUUAUUAAAAAAUAUAUCAGAUCAAGGUGUAGCUUAUAUUUAAGUAGAAAUGGGUUACAAUAAAAUUAUUUAAAUGAAUUAAAAUUUGAAAUGUUUUUUGAAAGUGGAUUUGAUAGUAAAAUUAUAAAGAUUAAUAAUUUGAUUUUAGCUCUAAAAUAUGUACACAUCGCCCGUCACUCUUAUUAUUAAGGUAAGAUAAGUCGUAACAUAGUAGAUGUACUGGAAAGUGUAUCUAGAAUGCAAUUUAAAGCUUUAUUAGUAAAGUAUUUCAUUUACAUUGAAAAGAUUUUUGUGCAAAUCAAUAUAAAUUGAUUAGAUUUUAUUUAUUAAUUUUUUUUUUUGAGAAAAUUAUUUAUUAAAAAUAAUUAUAAAAGUUAUUGUUUUAGUAUUUUAUAAAAAAAAAAUAAAUUUAAUUAUAGUUUAAUAGUAUUGUGAAAGAAAAUUGAAAUAAUUUGAAAAAUUUU